GUCCAGGGCAGCACUUUCCAGUCUAAUAAUUCUGAAGGGAGAAAAUCCUUCAGGGUUGUGGCAGGGGUGGUUAAAAGUGAUGACUGGUUUGUUAUGCACGGCAUCCAUGACAUUUAUUAUAAAACGGCAAAUAUUAGAGAAUCUCAGGUUCUUUUAUAAUUAUAUAAAUGUAUGCUAACUAUCACAUUUUCCUACUUGGCGCACUGCGCAUGCUGCUAUUUUCCGCUUGCUGCUUUCUGCAGACCGAGGACGCCUGACAGAUCUAUAUACAGAUGUAUAAGUACAUGCCAACAGUCCCUAUAUGGUCGGGACAGUCCCGAUUUCCUAGCAAUUGUCCCGCGUCCCGAUAUUUACCCACACAAGAAAAAAAAAUCAUUUAUUCUGCACAGUAGUUAGUGAAAACCACACGCUGUGCUCUUUGUAUGGCCGACACAUCUGAUCAGUAACUUAUACAAAGGUCAUGGGUCCUCCAACAGGAUAAUGACCCAAAACACACAGCUAAAAGCACCCAAGAAUGGAUAAGAACAAAACAUUGGACUAUUCUGAAGUGGCCUUCUAUGAGUCCUGAUCUGAAUCCUAUCGAACAUCUAUGGAAAGAGCUGAAACUUGCAGUCUGGAGAAGGCAUCCAUCAAACCUGAGACAGCUGGAGCAGUUUGCUCAGGAAGUGUGGGCCAAACUACCUGUUAACAGGUGCAGAAGUCUCAUUGAGAGCUACAGAAAACGUUUGAUUGCAGUGAUUGCCUCUAAAGGUUGUGCAACAAAAUAUUAGGUUAGCGGUCCCAUCAUUUUUGUCCAUGCCAUUUUCAUUUGUUUUAUUAUUUGCAAUAUUAUGUUGAAUAAAAAAUCAAAAGCAGUCUGAUUUCUAUUAAAUAUGGAAUAAACAAUGGUGGAUGCCAA